UGGGGAAUCUUGCACAAUGGGGGCAACCCUGAUGCAGCGACGCCGCGUGAGCGAUGAAGCCCUUCGGGGCGUAAAGCUCUUUCGACCGGAACGAUAAUGACGGUACCGGGAGAAGAAGCUGCGGCUAACUACGUGCCAGCAGCCGCGGUAAUACGUAGGCAGCAAGCGUUGUUCGGAGUUACUGGGCGUAAAGAGUGCGUAGGCGGCUUUCUAAGUUCGGUGUGAAAUCUCCCGGCUUAACUGGGAGGGUGCGCCGAAGACUGGGAAGCUGGAGUGUGGGAAAGGCAGGCGGAAUUCCUGGUGUAGCGGUGAAAUGCGUAGAUAUCAGGAGGAACACCGGCGGUGUAGACGGCUUGCUAGACCAUAACUGACGCUGAGGCACGAAAGCGUGGGUAGCAAACA
rnacentral:rRNA from 1 species